CGAGAUUAAGCUCAAAGCGUGUCUUAGAAGCACUUAAGGUGAGGCACGAUAAUCACGACUUAACCCGGGCAGGCAGCAACUUUUAGCUGACCAGUGGAAACAGCUUGUUUAAGGUGGUGUUGCCCGUGCUGUUUACGUGGCGAACCCGAAGAAAAACCGCGGGUUAAAGUCGCGUACGGCGCUGAUAAAGACUUGAACGCAGACGAAAACAUUAACUUACUAAAACCCGAAGAG
rnacentral:misc_RNA from 1 species